UACGAAGGGUCCAAGCGUUGUUCGGAAUUACUGGGCGUAAAGCGUGCGCAGGCGGUUUUGUAAGUCUGACGUGAAAUCCCCGGGCUCAACCUGGGAAUUGCGUUGGAGACUGCAAGGCUGGAGUCUGACAGAGGGGGGUAGAAUUCCACGUGUAGCAGUGAAAUGCGUAGAGAUGUGGAGGAACACCGAUGGCGAAGGCAGCCCCCUGGGUCAAGACUGACGCUCAUGCACGAAAGCGUGGGGAGCAAACAGG
rnacentral:rRNA from 1 species